UCAAUACAGCCGUGGAAAGGAAGAAAAUGGCAGUAACAGCAAUAGGAUAAAAAAUCCAAUUUUUCUUCCUUGUUUUCUCAGACUCGGCUUUCUCGGAGUAUCCGCUUCCCUCAAUAAUGAGUUCAAGCUCUCUUUCAAGCUCAUCGUGCUCUCUAAGUAGAGAAAGCAGCCGCAUUUCCAUGGCAUUUAGUUCGGCGGUAGCCGACUCGGUCUUGUAUGCAGCUUCCGCUAUCUGGGCCUUACUACGUGCCUCGGCUUCGCGAAGGGUAGAAGAAAGGGCCAGGCUGAAGACGUCGCGCUCGAUGCUAUCAGUGAUGUCACGGUCGGCGAGAUGUUCAAUCUGUUUCCGGAGCUCUGUCACUUCCUUCACGAGUUUUGAAUUGAGGGUUUUCAGGUCGUGGAUUUCUUUACUUAGGGAAGUUCCGGCGGCAGCUGCGGCAGAGGCUUUUUUCUUCUUACCCAUGAGGAGAGGAAUGUGUUAGGGUUUGAAGGUUUUCUUCUUCUUCUUCUUCUGUGAAGGCAAUAGAUUGUGUAAAGGGUUUUGGCAAUCUGUUGAGGAUGCCGUUUAUUUAUAGGCGGCUUUGGGGAGUGGAGCGAAGAUUUGAAUUAAUAUUCAGUUUUCUGAAUAAUCGGCUGUGGAUCGAUUAUUCCGUGACUGUUUAGGCUUCUCAAUGGAAGAAAUUUUUUUGAUUUGGCAUUCAUUUCUUCUAAUUUUCUGCAACGGCCUCCGGCAUCCUCUCCGCCAUCUUCGCCCAAGCAUUUCGGCUGGCUGAACAGAACGAGAUAAGGUACACGGACCUGAUAACUAUACUUGUUGGUGGUACUUUUAUGGGUUGAUUUCUAUGAAGCUUAAACAAAGUAUAUUGUUACUGAUAUUGGUAAGACCUUUUCAUUUUUGCACGUUCUCAUUCAUUUCUAUAUUUUGGAUGAUUUAGGAUUCGUUUGAGGUGGCUUUCUUAUUGCUUCUUAAAGCAACUUUUUGUACUAGAAAAUUACUUUAAAAAGUAGUAAGAAAGCCAUCCCAAACAAAACCUUAGUGGCAUCUAAAAUCAGCCACUACAACAAGAGUAGUUGGAAGGUGAUAACUUGUAUUCCAAAAUAGUAUUUAUAAUAAGUAUGUACAAAUAUUAAAAUUUAAAUUUCUGGAAGAUGAUUAUCACACACACAAGAUAUAAAAGAUGAGUAGAAAUAUUAGUAUUUCCUUCAUCCUAUUCAAACUAUGAAUUGAAUGAUGGAUGGCACAUACCUACAUAGCCCACACUCAUAGCUUCAUCAACCAUGUUCUUCUGCUCACAAACACUCAAUCCACUCAUAUAGAACACUCACCUAAAAGACUUUUGGCUUGCCCGAAGGGACUCGCCACUUGCUUGUGGUAUAUGCCUUUGUGGACUCGUCAGUCCAGUAUAUUUAUCUUGAAAACUCGUCUAGGGCACUCACUUUUGAGGACUUGGUUAGAGCAUUUGCCACCCAUCCAGGUACUUGCUAGAGACAUCCGGAGCCUCGUCAAAGAUAGACGGACAUGUGUGUGUCCGUGUGUACAUUUUGGGAUUCAAUGUUUGUAUUUACUUGUACUUGUUAAAUAAUGUAUUAUCUAUAUUUUUCUAUGUAUAGUUUUUCCUAUAGCUGUUUUAACUCUAUAAAUAAGAGAGUUAAGAUGCAUAUUUUGGA